AUACGUAGGGUGCGAGCGUUGUCCGGAAUUACUGGGCGUAAAGAGCUCGUAGGUGGUUUGUCGCGUCGUCUGUGAAAUUCCGGGGCUUAACUCCGGGCGUGCAGGCGAUACGGGCAUAACUUGAGUACUGUAGGGGAGACUGGAAUUCCUGGUGUAGCGGUGAAAUGCGCAGAUAUCAGGAGGAACACCGGUGGCGAAGGCGGGUCUCUGGGCAGUAACCGCCGCUGAGGAAGGAAAGCAUGGGUAGCGAACGGGAUUAGAUACCCUGGUAGUCCAUGCCGUAAACGGUGGGCGCUAGGUGUAGGGGUCUUCCACGACUUCUGUGCCGUAGCUAACGCAUUAAGCGCCCCGCCUGGGGAGUACGGCCGCAAGGCUAAAACUCAAAUGAAUUGACGGGG
rnacentral:rRNA from 1 species